GGGGAUUUAGCUCAGUGGUAGAGCACUUGCCUAGCAAGCACAAGGCUCUGGGUUCAGUUCCCAGCUCCA
rnacentral:tRNA from 1 species